UGGCUGGGAACCUGCCCUGACGUGGGGGAUAACAGUUGGAAACGACUGCUAAUACCGCAUGAUGUCUACGGACCAAAGAGGGGGAUCUUCGGACCUCUCGCGUCGGGAUGGGCCCAGUUGGGAUUAGCUAGUUGGUGAGGUAAUGGCUCACCAAGGCGACGAUCCCUAGCUGGUUUGAGAGGAUGAUCAGCCACACUGGAACUGAGACACGGUCCAGACUCCUACGGGAGGCAGCAGUGGGGAAUAUUGGACAAUGGGCGCAAGCCUGAUCCAGCCAUGCCGCGUGUGUGAAGAAGGCCU
rnacentral:rRNA from 1 species